rnacentral:lncRNA from 1 species
UUUUUUUUUUUUUUUUUUUUUGAGACAGGGUUUCGCUGUGUAGCCCUGGCUGCCCUGGAACUCACUCUGUAGACCAGGUUGGUCUCAAACUCAGAAAUCUGCCUGCCUCUGCCUCCCGAGUGCUGGGAUUAAAGGCACCUAAUUUAUUCUUGUUUCUUCUUUGUUCACAACUACUUAACAAACCACAACCAACAACCCCUCAACACCCAGGACCCUGGACAUUUAUUUAUAUAACAUCUGAAAAGCCCCCAGAAUUCCCAAGGUCACAGUCUCAGAAACUAUUUGCAGAUGGCAAAAUCAUACCCCUGCUACAGCAUGAAGCAAAUCCCAGCUGCUGUGGACAGCCCAUAUUCCACACCUGGGAUUAAAAUGAAAACAUACUCCCAUAAUAUUUCUAUGUUUUUCAAAGAAACCAAAAUUUUUGCUACAGAGUCAUGACCCCUUUGGGUGUCAAAAGACCCUUUCACAGGGAUUGCCUAAGACCAUCAGAAAAAAUAUAUAUUUACUUUAUGAUUCAUAAUAGUAGCAAGAUUAUAGUUAUAAAGUAAUGAUGAAAAUAACUUUAUGGUUUGGGGUCACCACAACAUGAGGUUAUUAUUCAAGGGUUGCAGCAUUACAAAGGUUGAGAACCACUGAGAUAGAGGUAGCUGAUCUGUGAGUUUGGAACCAGCCUGGUCUACAUAGCAACAUCUAAGCCAGCCAGGGCUACAUAGUGAGAACCUGCCUCAAAAGCAAAACAGCAGUCUUACUAUGUAGCCCUAGAUGGCCUAGAACUCCCUAUGCAGUAGGCCAGGUUGGCCUUUGCUUCCUGUGUCCUGGGAUUAAAGGCCUGUUCCUACAUGCCUAGCCUAGAAGGCUCUUGGUAGUAACUCAGACCCUAGUCGUGGCCCUCCCACCUGAAUGUGACAUCCACUGGUCUUUCUUUGGGGGAAUUGUUAAAGACACUGUCAGUUCACAGAGCAGGACUUAGCCCAGCUUCCUUCUCCUUGGCACACUCAGACUACCCCGUCUACCUGACCGCUGUGCUGGCCUUUCAGAUACUGAGACUGAGGUGCCAACGACAGCCUUGAGCUAAAUGAUGAUCACUCUCCUUGAGCUGGCAAGAUGGCUUAAUGGGUAAAGGUGCUUGUCAAGCCAGAUGACCCAGGGCCCCGAGCGACAGAACAAGAACCGAUCCCCACAGGCUGCCCUCUCACCUCCAUUCACAUUCACAAAAUUCAAAUGUAAUAAAAAGAUGUUUUAAACCUUACUCCCCCUAACUUCUCCAUCUUAGCUCCAAUAUCAUUUCCUCUUCAAAGAGCUCCUGGGAUGCCUCCCUUCCACACAGUGAGGAGGAGAGGAAUACGAUGUUUGUUUGGGUUUUUUUUUUUUUUUUUUAAAGACAGAUUUUGUCAUGUUCGUUAUGCAGUCCAGGUUAACCUUGAACAUGCUACAUCCUGUCCAAAGCUGCGAUGGUGGUACAGGCCUGUAACCCCAGCAUUUGGAACACAGAAGCCAGCUAACAGUCCAUGCUCAUCAUCAACUCCAUGACAAGUGCAGGGCCAACUUGAACUAUGUAAGACUCUUACAUAGGCAGUGCAGUGUGUGCCUCUUCUAGUGUAUCAGCUCUUCAGGACUGUAUGGAAAGUGACAGGCACCCGGGACACCUGCUCAGAAGGGGGCAAACAAGCCUGGGGGGCUGCAGUGCUCCCAGCCAAAGGUCACAUUCUAGAGGAGCUAUAUGGUGACAGUGUCAAGGCACACACCCAUCCCAGCACUCUGGAGGCUACACAAGAGGACCUCUAGUUCCAGACCAACCUAAGCUACACAGUUGAGGAGAUGGCUCAGCAAUUAAGAGCACUCCCUGCUUGCAGAGUUUGGAUCCCAAAUCAGGCAGGUAGAGCUGUAACUUCAGCUCUGAGAGCAGGCAGUCCAAUGCCCUCUUCUGACCUUAGGCACCUAAAUACAUGUAGCAUCCACACACACACAAAAGUACAAAUCUUUUGUGUGUGUUUCAAAACUAUUUCUCUGUGUAGUCCUGGUUAUCCUAGAACUCGUUCUUAGACCAGGCUGGCCUUGAACUCAGAGAUCUCUGCCUCCUUCUAUCCCUCCACCCCACCACCCAAGUUAAAAGAACGUGUCGCCACCACCCAGUGAUAAUCUUUUCUUUAAACUCUAAAAUACAAAAAAUAAUGGCAUUUCUGAGUUUUGAAUGAGAGGUGAACCUCCCUCAGCCUGCUCACUCUCCCAAGGUGAUUGAUACCCCAGCAUAGAAGUCCAGACUGUGAAUCUCAGAUGCCAAGAAAAUACCCACAAUGUUGAUUUUGUCCUGUUUAUUGGGGUGCCACUGUAGGCCGGAGGUACAGUAAAGUCAUUUUGCCUCAAUUCCCUGACACCACCACCCCAGGUAACUACCACGUAUAUAAAUAUAUAUAUAUAAAGUCUGUCAGUAGAAAAGGAAGACGUGUCAGCCUUGGCAGACCUUAGGGCUUCACCUUAGAGAAGAGGUAGGUUCCUUGCCAAGCCCAUCCAUAUGGGCCAGGAAGCCGAGGUUCUGGAGCACAGAACACAUUGUUUCUCCCCCACCCCAGAGUUCUAGAGUCUUUGGUUAGAACCACGUAGUCCAUGGUUAGGGCCAGUAGCCACACCCUUUGUGCUUCUGAGCAACCUGGCACUUCAUUCUGCGUGUGAUCAGGGCACUUAUACAGUGAAGCAAGGCUGUCUGGUUCCCAUGGAGAAGCCUCCUCCCCUGCCUCAGAAACUCCUUCCUGUCACUGGAUUCUGCUGGGACAAGAGCUGGGCUGUCAGGGCCAGGAGGAGGAAGUCCUGAGGCUGGAGCUGGUGCACCAAGGAAGGAAGAUGGAUGGUCACAGUGCUGGUACAGAUGGGUAUGGCUGUGGCCUGGGUCUGCAGUAGCUCGGAGUCCACAAGGAACAGAAGGGAUCCUUCCCCGCCCUGGCAGGGAGGAGGGCAAGCUGGCCCUGUGCAGAAGCACUAGGCCUCAGGUAGCAUCAGCAAGCGUCCCAGGAAGACAUCCUCCUCUCAGCACCAGGAUGGGGAUCUUACUGGCCCAGGUGGACAAGUAGCUCCUGCAGGUCUUCACAAAUGAUGCCUGGUCCUCUGGGAAGCAAAAGCCAACCCUUUGGCUCUAGGCUCAAAGAGCUGACUCAGGGAAGAGUUGAUUCUUCAGCUGUGGCCUCUGGUACUCCCUUAGAGGCUUUCCUAGCUGGUCAGGAUGCCCCGUGCUGCCAGGGACCCUCAAGCCCCUCAAGCCUCACUGAUCUGGUGACACUUUGAAGCACCUCAUCUUCCCCCAGACAACAUCUUAGGACUCUUCUAGCCAGACACAUGCUAUCCUGCAAGUGAGCCUAGCAGUGGCAGAUGACGUCAGCUCUGGGCCAGCCCCUGAAGGAGGCAGAUCAAAUUGUCCAGACCCCAGAGGUAGCCGUCCUCACGGUUGCCCUCUGUCCAAGGCAGCCUGUGACUGAGCAUCUGGUGGUCAGGCAGGGCCACUGUCUUGCCGAAGUCAAUCAUCCAGACCUUGGCCAGGCCAGUGUGGUCAUGCACAAAGAGAAGGGAACUGCCCACUACCUGCAGCAGAGAGUGAGAGAAAAGCAGUUAGAGAAAGGAGCAAGCACUAGCUAAUGUAUUUCCCGGUGAGCAGUAAACAGGGUGGUAAGACAGCAGAAACUCUGGAAUGAGGCUACCCACGUUCAAAUCCUGACUCUGAUUCUACAUAAACAGAAUAAUUGUAUAAUUACAUGUAAUGGGCAUAAAUCAUUUCAAAUGGUUCCUGAAACACAACAAAUACACAAUGAAUGUU